GUCCACGCCCUAAACGAUGGGUACUAGACGUCGGGAAGCUUGUCUUCUUGGUGUCGCAGCUAACGCAAUAAGUACCCCGCCUGGGGAGUACGGUCGCAAGAUUAAAACUCAAAGGAAUUGACGGGGGCCCGCACAAGCGGUGGAGCAUGUGGUUCAAUUCGAUGCAACGCGAAAACCUUAACCUGCCCUUGACAUCUGGGUAAUCCUGCAGAGAUGCGGGAGUGCCGCAAGGAACCCCAAGACAGGUGCUGCAUGGCUGUCGU
rnacentral:rRNA from 1 species